ACGCUGACAGAAUGCUUAACACAUGCAAGUCAACUUGAAUUUGGGUUUUUAACUUAGAUUUGGGUGGCGGACGGGUGAGUAACGCGUAAAGAACUUGCCUCACAGCUAGGGACAACAUUUAGAAAUGAAUGCUAAUACCUGAUAUUAUGAUUUUAAGGCAUCUUAGAAUUAUGAAAGCUAUAUGCGCUGUGAGAGAGCUUUGCGUCCCAUUAGCUAGUUGGAGAGGUAACAGCUCACCAAGGCGAUGAUGGGUAGCCGGCCUGAGAGGGUGAACGGCCACAAGGGGACUGAGACACGGCCCUUACUCCUACGGGAGGCAGCAGUGGGGAAUAUUGGACAAUGGACCGAGAGUCUGAUCCAGCAAUUCUGUGUGCACGAUGAAGUUUUUCGGAAUGUAAAGUGCUUUCAGUUGGGAAGAAAAAAUGACGGUACCAACAGAAGAAGUGACGGCUAAAUACGUGCCAGCAGCCGCGGUAAUACGUAUGUCACGAGCGUUAUCCGGAUUUAUUGGGCGUAAAGCGCGUCUAGGUGGUUAUGUAAGUCUGAUGUGAAAAUGCAGGGCUCAACUCUGUAUUGCGUUGGAAACUGUAUAACUAGAGUACUGGAGAGGUAAGCGGAACUACAAGUGUAGAGGUGAAAUUCGUAGAUAUUUGUAGGAAUGCCGAUGGGGAAGCCAGCUUACUGGACAGAUACUGACGCUAAAGCGCGAAAGCGUGG
rnacentral:rRNA from 1 species